rnacentral:rRNA from 1 species
CGCGGCCUAUCAGCUUGUUGGUGAGGUAAUGGCUCACCAAGGCAACGACGGGUAGCCGGCCUGAGAGGGCGACCGGCCACACUGGGACUGAGACACGGCCCAGACUCCUACGGGAGGCAGCAGUGGGGAAUAUUGCACAAUGGGCGAAAGCCUGAUGCAGCGACGCCGCGUGAGGGAUGACGGCCUUCGGGUUGUAAACCUCUUUCAGCAGGGAAGAAGCGAAAGUGACGGUACCUGCAGAAGAAGCACCGGCUAACUACGUGCCAGCAGCCGCGGUAAUACGUAGGGUGCGAGCGUUGUCCGGAAUUAUUGGGCGUAAAGAGCUUGUAGGCGGUCUGUCGCGUCUGCUGUGAAAAUCCGGGGCUCAACCCCGGACUUGCAGUGGGUACGGGCAGACUAGAGUGUGGUAGGGGAGACUGGAAUUCCUGGUGUAGCGGUGAAAUGCGCAGAUAUCAGGAGGAACACCGAUGGCGAAGGCAGGUCUCUGGGCCACUACUGACGCUGAGAAGCGAAAGCAUGGGGAGCGAACAGGAUUAGAUACCCUGGUAGUCCAUGCCGUAAACGUUGGGCGCUAGGUGUGGGACUCAUUCCACGAGUUCCGUGCCGCAGCUAACGCAUUAAGCGCCCCGCCUGGGGAGUACGG